UGCCAAAUAGGCAAUUCCAGCUUUUAGUUUAUGCGUGCAGGGGGGAUGAGAAGUAAUGUAUCUUAUUGCUGAUUAGUGAUUAUGCUGUAAAAAUAAAAAUGUAAAAAGAGUAUUAUUGAAAAUUUUUCAGCAUAUCUGCAAUAUGAUACCUUCCCGUCACCCCCUGCGCGCAUAAAAUUAAAAGCUGGAAUAGCCUAUUGGGCA